rnacentral:rRNA from 1 species
GUCGCAUGCUCCCGGCCGCCAUGGCGGCCGCGGGAAUUCGAUUAGAGUUUGAUCAUGGCUCAGAUUGAACGCUGGGGGCAGGCCUAACACAUGCAAGUCGAGCGGUAGAGAGGUGCUUGCACCUCUUGAGAGCGGCGGACGGGUGAGUAAUGCCUAGGAAUCUGCCUGGUAGUGGGGGAUAACGCUCGGAAACGGACGCUAAUACCGCAUACGUCCUACGGGAGAAAGCAGGGGACCUUCGGGCCUUGCGCUAUCAGAUGAGCCUAGGUCGGAUUAGCUAGUUGGUGAGGUAAUGGCUCACCAAGGCGACGAUCCGUAACUGGUCUGAGAGGAUGAUCAGUCACACUGGAACUGAGACACGGUCCAGACUCCUACGGGAGGCAGCAGUGGGGAAUAUUGGACAAUGGGCGAAAGCCUGAUCCAGCCAUGCCGCGUGUGUGAAGAAGGUCUUCGGAUUGUAAAGCACUUUAAGUUGGGAGGAAGGGCAUUAACCUAAUACGUUAGUGUUUUGACGUUACCGACAGAAUAAGCACCGGCUAACUCUGUGCCAGCAGCCGCGGUAAUACGAAUCACUAGUGAAUUCGCGGCCGCCUGCAGGUCGACCAUAUGGGAGAGCUCCCAA